UCAUUUGCUGCACCAUACUCAGUUAAUAUUUAAAGAUGAAAAUGUCCCAAAAUGCAGCAACCAGGUGCGAAGCUGGACAUGCUUUUCUGGUUUUCUUUUGUUAUUUUUCAUUGUUUUUAUAUAUAAUGUCCUCGUGUUUUAAAAUUUAGUUUUACUUGUUAAUUUAAAAUUCAUUUUUAUUCUUUGUUAUGAAUCGUAGCAACAUUAAUUUGGCGAAUCAAUUUUAACAGUAUGAUUGAUUAUCUGGAAGCCAUUGUUUCUUAGAAUGGUCGGAAUUGGAAAGAAAAUACACUGGUUGAUAAGUGUCCUCCCACUUGGAAAGGAUUGGAACUAUUCCAUCCUCAACAAAACUGAACCUUGUCACCCGCGUCGCAGCGCCCCAUGACAAGCCUCCCUCAAGCGCUUAACACCAAACAUGAUACACUACAAAUUGAAUAUUCUCUAAUCUUUUGCUCUUGCAUAAUUCCAAUUUUUAAAAACAAUUAUAACAUUUAAUAAUAAAAAAGUCCAGUGAAAAUGUAUUACA